rnacentral:rRNA from 1 species
CAGUCGCCACGGUAAUACGUAGGGUGCAAGCGUUAAUCGGAAUUACUGGGCGUAAAGCGUGCGUAGGCGGUGAGUUAAGUCUGCUGUGAAAUCCCCGGGCUCAACCUGGGGAUGGCAGUGGAUACUGGCUCGCUAGAGUGUGUCAGAGGAUGGUGGAAUUCCCGGUGUAGCGGUGAAAUGCGUAGAGAUCGGGAGGAACAUCAGUGGCGAAGGCGGCCAUCUGGGACAACACUGACGCUGAGGCACGAAAGCGUGGGGAGCAAACAGGAUUAGAUACCCGCGUAGUCCCUGUCUCUUAUAC